rnacentral:lncRNA from 1 species
CUUAUUUGUCCGUCGGUGGUUAUUCACGAUGGUGAUCGGUCAUAGCCGGGUGUAAUUUAUGUUUUUCAGGUUUGGGUGAUAGCUUUUAUGUUCGUCUGCUUCAAUCUGUGAUGAGGCAAUCGAUAUCAAAUAUGACGUAACAAGAGUGUAAACCAUGAGGCGAGUUGAUUAAAGGACAGUUGAGGGACCUAGAAAGAAGAAUAUUUGAGGUGUCAAAUAGGCUGUGAUGAGUUGAGUGAAAACCGUCUCUUGAUGCGGCAAAAUCCAAAGACAGCAGGUGCGAGUUUCUCCACUUACAACUUCUAUUGCAACCAUGGUCGUCUAAUAGACAAAUUUGCACCAAAAAGGUCGGUCAGUACAUUGCCUAAUUUCAUGGGAAACUUAGCUUCAAUGGAUCAUUAGACACGUUACGUAUAAUCUAGCGGCAAUUGCUACCGGACCCCGCCGCAACGCGGCGAGACUGUUUUCU